UGGCGAGCGAGGGUGUGCGUCGCGCGAGGGAGGGUGAGGAAGUAACGUGUAUAGUGAUGACAACGCUCCUGGAUAUACUGUGACAGCCCCUUAUCCUGGGAUCUUACACCUCCGCCCACCAUGACCAGCCGCCACAACUCCACAGACAGCGAGGAGAUCCGCCAGAGCCUGGACGUGUUGGACCGCGUGUUGUCAGAGUUUGAUGACGUGGAGACUGACACCAACGAUGAGUCGUCAGCCGUUGACGUUACCCUCAACACCCCCGACCUGGCCCCACCGUCAGCCCCACCGUCAGCCCCGCCGCCCAUAGACCGGACCCUGAAACCCCGAGAACCGGCUCCCGCGCCGCCGGAACUGCCCCGGAAGACCCGUUUGCCCCGCCCCGGAUCCGGCUCCUCAUCCCCGUCGAGUCAUGAGUAUCAGGAGAUUAAUUCCGACGUCUGCGGGCCGCAGCAUCCGGAUGAGGAGGCCGCCGCAGCGCCUCCUGCCACUAUUCUCAUCUCCCCCGCCGCUAAAAGCGGCGGCGGCGUCAGGAGACAGAUGUCGGAGGACAGGGCAAGAUUACGGCGUCACGAAGAUGAUUCGCGGAGGCAGCCGCGCCGACAGCGUAGCGAGGAUACGCGGCUCCGUCGCGAUGAUUUGUCGUCCAGUUCGGGCGAUCUGACGAGUGUCGACUUGCGUGAAAUGAUCUCCAAGCCCCGUCCCCCUAGGGAUACUAGCCGGGGACGCUCUAGGGACGCCAUCAGGGGUCCCAGGGACGCGGCUAGGGACGUCAGGGAACCUCGCCACUUGAGGAAGAGUCGGUCAGGGGAUGUGGAGGCUAGGAGACAUAGUCAGGAUCAGGGUCGCAGGCGCCGGUCUAGGUCCUCGGAUAGAUGGCUCGACCAUUCGACCUACCAGGAACACUUACUCGACCAACGCUUGGUCGAUCCUAGUAUGUACGACCCAAGGAUGGUCGACCCAAGAAUGGUCGACCCAAGAAUGGUUGACCCAAGAAUGGUUGACCCAAGAAUGAUUGGCCCAAGAAUGGUCGACCCUAGAAUGGUUGACCCGCGGUUAAUCGACCCGCGGUAUAUGGACGAGCCAUUCCCGCAUGAUCCGAUCCGGUUCCCUCACUUGAUGAGCUACCCGUCAGUGGGUCAAAUUGGUCCCAUGGCGGCGGGUAGACUGUCCCCCGUGUCCCAGGGUAUCCCGGUGGGUCCCCCGUUCCUACCCAUGGAAUACCCGCCCUACCCGCUCUACCCGUAUGACGUGGGAUACAUACCCGACCCGAGGAUUGGGCCAGACCAGCCCUUCCUGCCGCCCCAUCAAGUCUAUCCGGGGGACAUCCCCGUGCCGGAGUACAUCCAUCCGGAUUUCUUGCCGCCGGAUUACCCGUUGGAUUACCCGCUGGACUACGGCCCUGGUGCCCCCCAUCCGGCCCUGAUGGCCGGUAUGUGGGGCGGCCCGGGCCACCAGCCUGGAGACGACUGGCCGCCGCCCACACCAGAACAAGCACAGAAGCUUAUCAACAGUGUUGUCAGGAACCCAAGUCGCAGUAGCAGCAGCGGAGGUGAUACGGAGCGCGGCGCCCAAGACACCUCCCUAGUACACCUCCAGCCUCCCGCGAGAUGCAGUAAUCGACGCCUCACCUCAAUAGGACACUCUGACAGCUCCGGCCUUUCUUCGCCGACUGAAGAACGACGUCCUCUCAAUAGAAUGCAAUCUAGCUAUCGGACCAAUAACCUGCCCUUCAGAGAGCCACCCUCGGAGUUCAGGGUCGGGGAAGCUGUCAGAGACGCGAGCCCCAGGGGACCCCCGAAGACCUCCAUAUCCAUGCCUCACUUCUCUUCAGGGAAGGACAGCGGGUUUGAUGAAACUCCGUUGGUUGAGGAUGUCAACAACAGCAGUGGUCAUGGAGGUCGUCCAGGAGGUAGUUUCAUUGUCUCAGGGGUAUUCAAUGACUCUUCAAGAAUGUUUAUUCCUGCUCCUCCCUCCCCAACUCCAGACUAUGAUGAUGAUGGAGACUCUGAUGGAAAUGAAUCUGAUAUUCUUCAAGGUUCCCAGUUUUAUGUUGUAACAGAUAGUCAAGGUGACCCCAUAAAGAAAAAGGUUGCAAAUCGCGACUCUCUUAGUGAUGAUAGCCUUCAGAAUGCACCUGUAGCUGGAGGGAAAUCUUCCAAGGCUUCAACACCAGUGAAGAAGCCUUCUACACCUUUGCAGAAUAUGAUAAAAGAAUUCCAUCAAGGUUUACCCCCAUUUGAACACGAAAAUGGUUUCUCUGAUGAUUCUCUCGAAGAUUCCACUGUUAGCCCGUCGAGGCCCAGUACAGCGAGUCAGAAACCUUGUAGACAAACGUCUGAGGAGUCGUUGGCAUCCAUGGAGAGUUCUACAGCUUCAUUUGAUUAUAUGAAUGCUGGUCAGGCAAGAAAUUCCUCUUAUGGAAGACCAAAACCAAAACCUUCUCCCACUACUCCUGGUUCAGAAAAUAAUAAUAAUAAUAAUAUAAAUAAUAAUAAUAGUAAUAAUAAUAAUGAUGAUGAUGAUGAUAACAACAGCAAUAAUAAUAAUGAUAAUACUAAUGGCCAGAAAGGGAGUAGUUUUCGGGACAGAAAGGAUGUCAAUGGGAAAGUGAAGAAAUCUGUCCCUAAGGCAGUAGAAAAUGGUUUCACUCACAAGGAAAGCUUGAACAAGGAGGAUGAAAACUCCAGAGGCGAUUUGAACGAUUUCAGUAGACAGUGUUCAAGAGAAAGUUCUCAUAGUUCAGGAUCUAACAGCUCAAAACCCAAUGAAAGAUUUGAUACGAUACGACACAUGCUGAAGGAAGGCUUAAUUGAAGGCUUAGAUGAGAGCCCACCUCAGUUUAAGCCUCCACCACCAACAAAAAAAACAACCAAUGGAGUUCAUUCAGAUGAGAGAGCAGACAGUGGCUUGGGGUCUGUGUUCAGCACAACAAGAACAGACGAGAGUGGAGGUAGUGACAAUCGAACUGAACUCUCUGGUACUCCGUCCUUACUUACUUCACCUAAAGAAGCAGAAAAUUUUAGGAAAAGAAAAUCUGAUAUUAGGAAAGGAAAGGAGACAGUUCGCAGUCGAGCAUCCAUUGCAUCAGAAGAUGUAGAAAGAAAUCGUGAUGAUGGUGAUGAAGUGGAAAUUCAAAUGAAAGAAACAUUGGAAGUCCCACCUCCUCCACCACCCAGAGAUGAGUCAAUGCACUGGACACCACGCAUUGCUCCAUCUGCAACUCAGAAGGAUCAUACCAAACUUUCUGCGAGAUCCAUGCCAACUACACCCUCGACAUCUAAAAAUCCAAGCUGGCUACACAAUGCCGUCUCGGAAAAAGAUGAAAUGAUUGAAGUUGCAUCAAACCAUUCUCAUCAGCUCUCAGGGGAUAAGGUUACACACAUUGAUGAUCUUUAUGGGCAAAAUGAACAACAUGAAAGUGGAAGUGAAGUUAGCAGUGCUAUAAAUGGUUCCCUAGCUAGUCACUAUAGUAUUCAAGACAAUGAUAACCCAUUGACAGAUCGGGAAUUUUUAGAAAACUUAAAAAACCUUGAGCCUAGACCUCGACCAGACACAUUAGCUGUAAUUACUGAGGACCAAGGUAGCAUUGGAUCUCGAGGAAGUCGUUCAGGCCGAUUGCUAUCUAGAAUUACCGAUUCUGUUCGAAGUGGAAGUAGAACACCAACUCCAUCUUCUUCCAGUUCCACCACACGUGCCACCACAACUAAACUCACUUCCACCUCAAGAUCUUCCACUCGUAUUCAUGGGGAUAUUAUUAGAGAGCCGUGGAGAUCAUCCCUGCGUGAGUCAGCUCUACCCUCGCCUCAAGACUAUGCUCGCCUUCCGUCCCUCAGUCCGUCUGUUAUACCACUAACCCGUGAUGGUUCUGGGCGCUUUAGAAGCAUUGAGGAUUUGGCAGAAGCCAUUUCUACACCUGAAGAUACUACAUUGUCUGGAAAGAAGAAAAAACAUUCCACAUUGCCACCAAAUCUCACCCCAGGAGAUAUGAAGAAAGAAAAUAAAGAACUUCGACGAGCAACGUCUUUGAUGGUUGGCAAAAAAGGAAAAGAAGGCAGCGAAGGCUCCAAGUUCCGGUUUAACUUCUUCCGAGGCUUCUGGCGACGGAAGCAGUACUCUUUCGACAACAAGGUGUAGGGACGGCCCCCCUCCUCCUCCUGACGGGGUCCCAACCCACGCACCCACCUCCAGCAGGCAGAGUGCCAAACCCCUACUAACCACUAUCAAACCUCCUAAGUGGAAGAUCUGGCUUCCACUCUCCCGUUCCAAACCUCCGCUUCCUAGCCCCGUCCCUCCUCCACUGGCUCCAAAACCACACCUGUUGUUUAACAAGCCUCACCUGUCCACCUCUGUCACGAAAUAGAGGCCGAUAGAUCCGGGAUCUGUUACGAGGAUAGUCUCGGGAUGAACUGGCUAGCAAAACUCCCAAAUUGUUGGAAAAGAUAAAUUACAAGCACCACUGGAAGAAUCAGCAGUAUAUAGAUAUAACAGUAGAUAGAUAUAGAUAUUACUUGACCAUAACAGGAACAAUGUUGAUCUGGCAAUAUUUUUGAACAAAGGGAUAGGUAAUGUUCAGUGAAGGUGAACACAGGGAUAGGUAAUGUUCAGUGAAGGUGAACACAGGGAUAGGUAAUGUUCAGUGAAGGUGAACAUGAACACAGGGAUAGGUAAUGUUCAGUGAAGGUGAACACAGGGAUAGGUAAUGUUCAGUGAAGGUGAACACAGGGAUAGGUAAUGUUCAGUGAAGGUGAACACAGGGAUAGGUAAUGUUCAGUGAAGGUGAACAUGAACACAGGGAUAGGUAAUGUUCAGUGAAGGUGAACACAGGGAUAGGUAAUGUUCAGUGAAGGUGAACACAGGGAUAGGUAAUGUUCAGUGAAGGUGAACACAGGGAUAGGUAAUGUUCAGUGAAGGUGAACAUGAACACAGGGAUAGGUAAUGUUCAGUGAAGGUGAACAUGAACACAAACUCAACCGGAAGUGUUAAUCCCUGACAACAACAACAACAACAUUUCUACAAGUAAUUAUGACUCAGGAUAAUGUCGAAAACUUCUGUUUUUAUUUUCUUCGUUUUUUUAUUUUCAAUUGAAAUUGCAACCUCUCCAAAAUAUAUUCACUAGGCUUUAUUGCAAAGGCUUUAUUGCAAAGGCUUUAUUGCAAAGGCUUUAUUGCAAAGGCUUUAUUGCAAAGGCUUUAUUGCAAAGGCUUUAUUGCAAAGACUUUAUUGCAAAGACUUUAUUGCCAAGACUUUGUUGCAAAGACUUUAUUGCAAAGACUUUAUUGCCAAGACUUUGUUGCAAAGACUUUAUUGCCAAGACUUUGUUGCAAAGACUUUAUUGCAAAGACUUUAUUGCCAAGACUUUGUUGCAAAGGCUUUAUUGCAAAGACUUUAUUGCCAAGACUUUGUUGCAAAGACUUUAUUGCAAAGACUUUAUUGCCAAGACUUUGUUGCAAAGACUUUAUUGCAAAGACUUUAUUGCCAAGACUUUGUUGCAAAGGCUUUAUUGCAAAGACUUUAUUGCCAAGACUUUGUUGCAAAGACUUUAUUGCCAAGACUUUGUUGCAAAGACUUUAUUGCAAAGACUUUAUUGCCAAGACUUUGUUGCAAAGACUUUAUUGCAAAGACUUUAUUGCCAAGACUUUGUUGCAAAGGCUUUAUUGCAAAGACUUUAUUGCCAAGACUUUGUUGCAAAGACUUUAUUGCAAAGACUUUAUUGCAAAGACUUUGUUGCAAAGACUUUAUUGCCAAGACUUUGUUGCAAAGGCUUUAUUGCAAAGACUUUAUUGCCAAGACUUUGUUGCAAAGACUUUAUUGCAAAGACUUUAUUGCCAAGACUUUGUUGCAAAGGCUUUAUUGCAAAGACUUUAUUGCCAAGACUUUGUUGCAAAGACUUUAUUGCCAAGAUUUUGUUGCAAAGACUUUAUUGCAAAGAUUUUAUUGCCAAGACUUUGUUGCAAAGGCUUUAUUGCAAAGACUUUAUUGCCAAGACUUUGUUGCAAAGACUUUAUUGCCAAGACUUUGUUGCAAAGACUUUAUUGCAAAGACUUUAUUGCCAAGACUUUGUGGCAAAGGCUUUAUUGCAAAGACUUUAUUGCCAAGACUUUUUUGCCAAGACUUUAUUGCAAAGACUUUGUUGCAAAGACUUUAUUGCAAAGACUUUAUUGCAAAGACGUUAUUGCAAAGACUUUAUUGCCAAGACUUUGUUGCAAAGGCUUUAUUGCAAAGACUUUAUUGCCAAGACUUUGUUGCAAAGACUUUAUUGCCAAGACUUUGUUGCAAAGACUUUAUUGCAAAGACUUUAUUGCCAAGACUUUGUUGCAAAGGCUUUAUUGCAAAGACUUUAUUGCCAAGACUUUUUUGCCAAGACUUUGUUGCAAAGACUUUAUUGCAAAGACUUUGUUGCAAAGACUUUAUUGCCAAGACUUUUUUGCCAAGACUUUAUUGCAAAGACUUUAUUGCCCUACAAAUACUCGUUUUAAACUUGUAUAUUUGAAGUAACUGGUAUAUUGUUCCCUUUUUUUGCUGGGACCAACAGGUAAGGGGUUUGGUAGUGAAUUGUAACGUGGACUUGUGCAGUACGGACGUGUUCUCGUACGAAACCUUUACAUCUUUCCUCAAUCAUGGCGGCUUUGUUUACAUCUGAUUACACACCAGUCACACCAUUGACCAGCUGAACCUGGGGACUUGAGCCUAGCAUAAGGGAACGUUAAACGUCCUGCUAAACAGACUUAUUUUGAACGUUUAACCGCGUGUCUGUCAGUCUCGGCUGAUCACUUAUGAAAGAAUAUCUGUGGUGGGUGUGGACAAGAGCACCACACGCAGCUGUUACAGCGGGUACAGCCAGCUGUAACAGCGGGUACAGCCAGCUGUAACAGCGGGUACAGCCAGCUGUAACAGCGGGUACAGCCAGCUGUAACAGCGGGUACAACCAGCUGUAACAGCGGGUACAGCCAGCUGUAACAGCGGGUACAGCCAGCUGUAACCAGCUUACAACAGACAUCUGUGAGCUAUCGCCCGUCUACAAGACAGCAAGGGGCCAGGAGCGGGGGGGGGGGGGUACUAUACUAGCCAGUCGCGUUCAGAAACAAGUAUAGUCACGGGGGACUCUCCUUGCCACAUGUGGCAGAACCUGGCCAUAUAUAGGCAACACGUAGGCCUAUAGGCAACCCCCCCCCCCCCUCUCCCCCAGCAGCAUAGACCUGUGAAUAGAUCACAAGCAUUUUAUGUGCUAUCACUCCAUGGUCACUUCGAAUUGCGAAGUGAAUACCACAAUCUGCAUUCUGUUUUUCUUCUAAUGCCUCGGUGACUUUGUCGUAGUGGUCCAGUAGCUGUGAGAGGCAGGAAUGGGCUAGCAUCUGUCACUCAACCGUCACUCCCUUACGUCAACGACAUCCUUCUCCUUUGGUGAGGUUCUGAACAUCUUCAAGUUUGUUAUUGAAUGAACAUUCCGAGGGUCGCAGAUUUAUAAUUGAACAGAAGAACCGCAGUAUUUUUCAUUGCUCCUUCACUUCGCGGUGUAUAUAUCCCGUUGGAUAUUCUUCACCGUUGAGUCGUAAGCAAGUGGUGAGUAGGGAUAUAUACCUGAGAGGUAUACUCUGCUUCUCGCUGUAUAUACGAGUUUACUUUGAAGAUGGAUUAUGUUCAUGCAGCCAGAGUGCACAGUAUGCAACAGCGGCUCCGGUUCGACUUUGAAAAUGGUCCUUCACCGUUGACAACGGUGAUUUUGGCAUCGAACCUGCUCCGUUCUUGAAUGUUGUUGCCACUAGUUAGGCACUGUUAUGCCAGACACUGAACAUGCUGGCACUGUUACGCCAGACACUGAACAUGCUGGCACUGUUGCGCCAGACACUGAACAUGCUGGCACUGUUGCGCCAGACACUGAACAUGCUGGCACUGUUGCGCCAGACACUGAACAUGCUGGCACUGUUGCGCCAGACACUGAACAUGCUGGCACUGUUGCGCCAGACACUGAACAUGCUGGCACUGUUACGUCAGACAUCAGUGUCCACGCGGCAGUAUCUCUGACAAACGAACAGAAGAUCCUUAACAGGUAGUUAGGCUUCGCGCGCUCGUUUCGCGAACGCCCUCCAAAGGUUUCAAAACGCCAAGAAACGGUCAAUCUAAAGUGCCGUUGUCCUGACCUACCAGAGGAUCCGAAGCAUCAGUCGAGACAGUACGUCAAUUUCGCGAGCCGCUUCCAUUUUCUAGUACGACGAUUUUGGGGGGUCUUAGGUAGAGUGUACGUCAACAAUGAGACGCUCCAUCCUCCAACCCGUAGGAGGACGGGUUGUAGGAUGUUUAUGUACAGAAUAUGGACUACGGAAAUAGUCUAGUUCGAACUUAUGACUCGAAACAUUUCCUUCAGCCUCUCCUGAAAACAGUACCCAAGUCAACGUAAUCAAAACAUCUUAACCUAACCUUACCUAGAUCUAACUAUUCAUAACUCCCCAGUAGAUAAUAAUAUUUAUAUUUGCGCAAAAAAUUGUUUUAUUUACACUAUUGGCAACAUUUAUUCAUUGCCGGUUGGUUGCCAGAGGUAUUCGUCAACUGCUGACUAAAACGUCAGCAGCUGUCAGUGGGGGCGGAGGACGGGCUGACGUCAGACGUGGGGCAUUUGGUCUCCAGUAUAACAAGGCGAAGGAUAUGGCUGAGGAGACGUCUACAGCCCUACGUCCGGUCCAGAGGGAGCAGACAGAAGAGGCGGGUUGUGGCGUGUGUGGAAGAGAAAAUUGUGUUUAUACAAGAUGGCGUGUCUGGCUGUGCUCGGGUCGACAGCAAAAUGAUGCACCAUUGAAAUGCUAGGAACUCCA